CGAAGGGUGCGAGCGUUAAUCGGAAUUACUGGGCGUAAAGAGCACGUAGGCGGUUUGAUAAGCGGAAUGUGAAAGCCCCGGGCUUAACCUGGGAACUGCAUUCCGAACUGUCUGGCUAGAGUAUGAUAGAGGUGAGCGGAAUUUCCUGUGUAGCGGUGAAAUGCGUAGAUAUAGGAAGGAACAUCAGUUGCGAAGGCGGCUCACUGGAUCAAUACUGACGCUGAGGUGCGAAAGCGUGGGUAGCGAACAGGAUUAGAUACCCUGGUAGUCCACGCCGUAAACGAUGUCUACUAGCCGUUAGGGUACUUGAUACCCUAGUGGCGUAGCUAACGCGAUAAGUAGACCGCCUGGGGAGUACGGCCGCAAGGUUA
rnacentral:rRNA from 1 species